rnacentral:rRNA from 1 species
CCAGACUCCUACGGGAGGCAGCAGUGAGGAAUAUUGGUCAAUGGCCGAGAGGCUGAACCAGCCAAGUCGCGUGAGGGAAGAAUGUCCUAUGGAUUGUAAACCUCUUUUGCCAGGGAGCAAAGUCACCCACGUGUGGGUGUUGGAGAGUACCUGAAGAAAAAGCAUCGGCUAACUCCGUGCCAGCAGCCGCGGUAAUACGGAGGAUGCGAGCGUUAUCCGGAUUUAUUGGGUUUAAAGGGUGCGCAGGCGGCAGCGCAGGUCAGUGGUAAAAUUGGGGGCCUCAACCUCCCCCCGCCGUUGAAACUGCGUUUCUUGAGUGGGCGAGAAGUACGCGGAAUGCGUGGUGUAGCGGUGAAAUGCAUAGAUAUCACGCAGAACUCCGAUUGCGAAGGCAGCGUACCGGCGCCCAACUGACGCUCAUGCACGAAAGCGUGGGUAUCGAACAGGAUUAGAUACCCGAGUA